AGAUGUGAGGGCGAUCUGGCUGUGACAUCUGUCUCCCCAUCGAUUGCUAGGGUUGACUUGGCUGAUCUGGCUGGCUAGGGCAGUCUUCGCUUGCCUCCCUCACCGCUCCAUGUGUGUUGCUCCUAAAGCUGCAUGCUCUGUCAAAGAGGACGACCAUCCCCGAUAGAGGAGGACCAUUCUUCCAUCAGGAUAUAUGAGUAGCUGUGCUCCCCUCCUAGAGCUUCCAAACAAACUCCCAAGGUCCAAGAGCAGAGAUUCCCACCCUGUGUUGGAAGGAGAUAAUUUUAUGGUCAGUUGUAAACCAUUUCAGAAAGGCAAUAGAUCCAUAUCAAAGGGAUUGCCUCCAUGUCUG
rnacentral:snRNA from 1 species